GAUGAACGCUGGCGGCGUGCCUAAUACAUGCAAGUCGAGCGAAUGGAUUAAGAGCUUGCUCUUAUGAAGUUAGCGGCGGACGGGUGAGUAACACGUGGGUAACCUGCCCAUAAGACUGGGAUAACUCCGGGAAACCGGGGCUAAUACCGGAUAACAUUUUGAACCGCAUGGUUCGAAAUUGAAAGGCGGCUUCGGCUGUCACUUAUGGAUGGACCCGCGUCGCAUUAGCUAGUUGGUGAGGUAACGGCUCACCAAGGCAACGAUGCGUAGCCGACCUGAGAGGGUGUUCGGCCACACUGGGACUGGGACACGGCCCAGACGCCUACGGGAGGCAGCAGUAGGGAAUCUUCCGCAAUGGACGAAAGUCUGACGGAGCAACGCCGCGUGAGUGAUGAAGGCUUUCGGGUCGUAAAACUCUGUUGUUAGGGAAGAACAAGUGCUAGUUGAAUAAGCUGGCACCUUGACGGUACCUAACCAGAAAGCCACGGCUAACUACGUGCCAGCCGCCGCCGUAA
rnacentral:rRNA from 1 species